rnacentral:rRNA from 1 species
GGAACGGGAAGAACCUUACCAGGUCUUGACAUCUUUUGAUCACCUGAGAGAUCAGGUUUCCCCUUCGGGGGCAAAAUGACAGGUGGUGCAUGGUUGUCGUCAGCUCGUGUCGUGAGAUGUUGGGUUAAGUCCCGCAACGAGCGCAACCCUUAUGACUAGUUGCCAGCAUUUAGUUGGGCACUCUAGUAAGACUGCCGGUGACAAACCGGAGGAAGGUGGGGAUGACGUCAAAUCAUCAUGUCCCUUAUGACCUGGGCUACACACGUGCUACAAUGGAUGGUACAACGAGUUGCGAGACCGCGAGGUCAAGCUAAUCUCUUAAAGCCAUUCUCAGUUCGGACUGUAGGCUGCAACUCGCCU